rnacentral:rRNA from 1 species
GAGAUAACUCCUACGGGAGGCAGCAGUGGGGAAUUUUGGACAAUGGGGGCAACCCUGAUCCAGCAAUGCCGCGUGAGUGAAGAAGGCCUUCGGGUUGUAAACCGCUUUUGUCAGGGACGAAAAGGUAGUAGCUAAUAUAGAUAACUAAUGACGGUACCUGAAGAAUAAGCACCGGCUAACUACGUGCCAGCAGCCGCGGUAAUACGUAGGGUGCAAGCGUUAAUCGGAAUUACUGGGCGUAAAGCGUGCGCAGGCGGUGGUGUAAGUCAGAUGUGAAAUCCCCGGGCUCAACCUGGGAAUUGCAUUUGAGACUGCACGGCUAGAGUGUGGCAGAGGGGGGUAGAAUUCCGCGUGUAGCAGUGAAAUGCGUAGAUAUGUGGAGGAACACCGAUGGCGAAGGCAGCCCCCUGGGAUAAUACUGACGCUCAUGCACGAACGCGUGGGGAGCAAACAGGAUUAGAAACCCUAGUAGUCCUCCACU